rnacentral:rRNA from 1 species
ACUCGAGUGGCGAACGGGUGAGUAACACGUGGGUGAUCUGCCCUGCACUUCGGGAUAAGCCUGGGAAACUGGGUCUAAUACCGGAUAGGAGCCAUUUUUAAUGUGAUGGUUGGAAAGUUUUUCGGUGUAGGAUGAGCUCGCGGCCUAUCAGCUUGUUGGUGGGGUAAUGGCCUACCAAGGCGGCGACGGGUAGCCGGCCUGAGAGGGUGGACGGCCACAUUGGGACUGAGAUACGGCCCAG